GUUGAAAGGGACCUCAGAGAUCACCUAAUUCCCACCUGCUGUGUGUUUUGUGACACUGGGAAGCACUGGGUUUCCUAGAACUCUGUAGAGAAUUGAGCUCAGUUGUCUUCAUUGGAAUCCCCAUUUUGGGACGGAGGUCCCUUCCAACCCAGCCAUCCCAUGAAGCGGCAAUGAUCCCAGGAGCUGCGGGGCGAGGAUCCAAAAUCUGACCCAAUUCCUGAUCCAAAACCUGCCUGAAGGGCUUCGGGCUCUCAGCUCUGGGCCCAUCCUCACCGUGCUGCAGGACCAGCCCCGACGUUUCACCUCCAUUCCCCACCUGCAGCAUCGCAUUUACCACUUCCCUCAGCAUCUCCCCUGGCAGCGCCAUUUCCCAUUGGGACAUCGAUGCCCUCUCGUCGGGUUCCUCUCUCUCAGCACCCGGAUGGGCAAAGCAAAAGGCAGAAGAGCGGCGUUCUGUGCCGGUGUCACUUUUCUCCCAGCCAACAAACAGAAGUUUUAUUAGCGAAACCCUCUCGGAUGCCGCAUUCCAGCUUGGUAACAUUUCGGUAACACAUUGCAAACGUUUGACUCAUAGAAACUUGGAAGGCUGCAGCCGGGGGAGGGGGAAGAGCGUCACAUUCCCAUUCCCGGGCAGGGUUUGGUUGUUGGGUUUUUCUUUUUCUUUUUCUUUCUUUUUUUUUUUUUUUGUAAAGAACUGAAACUUCUCUCUGUUUAAUGAAAAAAAAAAGUGUUGGAGCCGGCCGCUUUGGGCUCGCAUUGUGUUUGCAGCGAGGGGAUGGGGGAGGAGGGCUGCUGCCAAGGGAGGAACCGAGGCAGCUGAACUCGCUUUUCUUCGGCGAGUUUUUUUUCUCCCUCUGUGUUCCCAGGACAGGGUUGGCUUUCUAGGUUUGAUAAAGCAUUUCCUUCCAUUGUCAUUCUAUACGGCCUCUGGGCCCUUUGCUCAGUCCCUCCCCUUUCGCCUUCCCCUCUCUUUUCUCUUUCUCUCUUCCUGAACUUCAGUGAAUCUUGAGAUAUAAAGAAAGCAGCUGCCUCCCCCCGAGCACAUCUCGGACAAUGCGGCCGCAUCUCCAAGGGCUUUAACUCCUCUGGAUGCAAGGACAAAGCCACGGUGAGUACCGGGGGUCCCACGCGCGUGACGCUGCAAUGUGCCCCAGCUGCUCCAACCCAACCCAAGCUGGUGCCAAUGCUGUCCCCAUUGUGCCGUCCCCAUGUCCCCAUUGUGCCAUCCCAGUAUCCCCAUCGUGCCAUCCCCAUUGCACUGUCCCCAUGUCCCCAUUGUACCAUCCCAGUAUCCCCGUCGUGCCACCCCCAUUGCACUGUCCCCAUGUCCCCAUUGUACCAAGUCCAUCGUGCCAUCCCCACUGUGCCAUCCCAAUAUCCCCAUCGUGCCGUCCCCAUUGCGCCGUCCCCAUCGUACCAUCCCCAUGGCCCCAUUGCGCCGUCCCCAUUGUGCCAUCCCCAUUGUACCAUCCCCACUGUGCCAUCCCCAUGUCCCCAUUGCGCCGUCCCAUUGCGCUGUCCCCAUCGUGCUCUCCCCAUGCCCCCACUGUGCUGUCCCAUCUGUGGGUGGCAUUGUCACCUAUGUCACCUGGGCCAGCCGUGUGACACGGGCUGCUCAACACGGUGGGAGGAAUCCUCCUCUCCAAAGCAAAGCAAAGCAAAACAAACGUGAUGCAACCGUGUUCCCAUGAGCUGCACUGCGGGAGGGCCGUCCUGCGGUGCCAGGUGUGGUUUUGGAGCUGGGGGCUGCACAGUGUGGGGGGCUGCACCCCUCCUCUGCUGCCCGCGUUGCUCUGCUUGCUGCCUUUUCCUGUUUUAAGCAGCAAAGCAAGAGAUGGGCUGGAGCAGCAGGGAGCUCUGCUGUGCAUGGAUUGGUGACGUGGGGCCGUGGGGAGCAGUGCAGGCUGGGGCUGCAGCGCUGUUUCCUGCACAGAAAACAGGAGGCAAAACCGAGGGAUGCAGGUUUGGUUAGCUAAGGGAGCUCAGGGCUGCUGACUUGCUUGCAAUACAGGCCCCAGUCUCACCUCCCAGGAAAACCCAACCAAUUCACCACGGCAGACACUCAGGCCUAAUCCAGAUCAACCUUAAGACCACUCAAGGGAUCGCACGCUGCGAGGAAGCACAGUGCAGUCCUGUCAGCUCCUCCAGAGCAGCUCCCCCAGCCUGGGCUGCCCGGGACACGUGCUGUGUUUGAUGGGCACCAAAAGGGCUCUGUUCCCCAUUCCUGCUGCUUUCCCCCUUCCCCUCCCCCUGGCAGUCAGCUAUUGCUCUGGUCUCACAGCAAUCUCCCUUAAGGUGCUUUGCUCUCUCUGGGUUCUGGUGUGCACUUUGUGCGCUCACUCACCUGGCAGUCCUCUCUUUGCCUCUGCUGCUGUUUUGCUCUCAGGUGUCAAUGGGAACAAAGGAGAAGGGGCUGUAACUCCAAAGGAUGCUGAGAUCAGAGCAGCCCCUGUCCUGCUCGUGUCUGCUCCUCUGCUCUCUGAGUGGCUCGCAGCGCAUUCCUUACCCUCACCUUACUUUGGGGAGUGGGGAGAAAUGCAGCGUGCAGAAUAAGGACAGGUGAUGCACGUGGGCUGUGCAGCCGUGUGGUACAGAGGGGCAGAGGGCAGCAGUGCCACAGGUGUUGCAGACCCUGCAAAGGGCCGAGCAGAGCACGCAGCCCAAUCAGCCAGACGCUGCAGUCGAUGUCUGAGCUCUCGUGUGGGGAUUUUCCUCCUCGUCUCCAUCUGUCUCCAGGAUCUGCUGUCUGUGCUGAAAUCUGAUUCGUAGGAAACAGUAUCUGAGUUCGGGAAAUGCCACGGGGUGUCUGAGGCCUUUGGGACCGGGCAUGGAAAAGAGCAGCCCCCAAAGCCUGUUGUAAUCCUCUGUGCCAAAAUGAGAUAAGAAAGCCUCAAAGCUUUAUUACAGGAAUCCGGCCAGGUGAAGGGGACAAACCUGGUGGUGGCUGGAGGAGGAAGAGGAGGAGGAAGAGGAGGAGGAAGAGGAAGAGGCUCUUCUGGCAACCACUCAGCCCAACCACGAGGGAUAUUGGAUUGUGCUUCUAAUCUGGAUGAGUGGAAUCCUCCUGGUGUGGGCUUUGGGAGCAGCUGAUGGAAAACAGACAAAAGAGACUGACGGAGGGGGAUAUGGGUUAACAGGGUAAACCUGGGCACGUGCAAACAAUGGGAUUUCGUGUUAAAAAACACUGGAAGAUUGCAGCUGAGAGCAGGAAAUUGGGUCAGGUGCUGAGUGGUUGUAUCUGCUGUAGGAAAGCAGCUCUGGACAGGCUUUGGCCACCGGUGUGGGGAGGCAGGGCGAUGUGCCCCACUUCUCCCAUGCAAUGGGGUACCAUGCAACGGGGUACCCGGGCAGUGCUGAGCCUUCAGUGUGCUUUAAUCUCAUGGGAGCUGAAUUCUUUGGGGGUAAAAAACAGAAGAAAGGAAUGCCUGUGCCAUCAGGUGCAGAUGUGAGGCUGAGGAGAUGGGCUUUGUGCCCUGAGCAUGCAGUGGGAGGCUCUGAAAGGAGAAACCUCCUGGUAUGAGGUGUGAUUCUGGGUGUUACGGCUGGGGAAUUAUCACACAAGGUAUGAAAGAGCAGAACCUGUUGUGCAAAAGUCAAUCAGAGCGCUGAGUCAGAGCAGCCUCAAUGCGUGCUGAGCUUUUUGGACUCCUUAAAAUCACAUUUCUUGGUCCAAUGCAACCCUGCAUGUUUUCCCCCCAUCCCGUCUGUGUUUGUGGCAUUUGCUCAUAGGGAGUUCUGCUCAAUGCAGCAGCUCUGGGCAAUGCUAUGGGGUGCCUGGAUAUGGGAUGGGAGCUGUAGGUGGAGGGGUUUGGGGAUGGGUGAUGGGUUGGGUGGUCGUGGAAGGGCUGCUCCGCUCCAGGGAGGAUCCGAGUCCUUCAGCUAACAGAAAACUGCCACACUCAGCUGAACCCCAUUGAGGGAUAACAUUGGGCUUCACAACUCAGAAGUAAAGGUGGAGAUGGAAUGAAGCAGCAUCAGCUGUGAUACCGACCAGAGCCUGCAGCAGGAGGACACCCCCUGAGCACCGUGCUGCCCGGGACAGCUGUGCUCCCAGCAGGAGCUGAGUGCUCGUAUAAAUGGAGACGAAGCCCUUGGAUGUGAGGCAUCACUGAGUCUCGUUGAUUUCUGGGAGGAGCUGAGAGCCUCACUGCUCCUUCUGCCAUCUUUCCCAGCUCAGUGCCCACAGCCCCCUCCGUCGCAGCCUCCGGGAGUUCAUCUCUGUUCUUGGCACCUUCACAAUGAGGAAAUUGGCCGCCACUUCCACAGCAGCCAGCAACUUUCCAGGGAUGUUGCAUGGAUUUUCCAGCCAGGGAUGGAACGGCCUCAGCAGCCCUUCGAUCCGCCAGCAUAGGGCUGCAGCGCUGCAUCAGGAAGGAGCAGAUGGCGUUUAAAGGAGCAUCCAUGGGCAGAUCCUCCUGCACGGACACGGCCUCGUGUUAUGUGGUUGCAUAGGAGAAUGAAUGCACUUUAAAUGCAUAUGAACUGGCUAUGAUUAGUUAGGAAGUUUUCUUUCCAGAGCAGGAAAUGGGGGAACUGUAAUUAUUUCUUUAACAAACCAGGUGCACCAGGCCAAAAGCCUCAGUGCUGUGAGCACUCAGCAGAUCCGUGCUGGCUGCACCUGAUGGUUUUAAUAUCACUGGCCAAACUGCUCAGUAAUAGAUUUUGUGUGGUGGCCACACAGGAAGGCCCCGGUGCACGUUCCCUUACCCUUCGUAUUUGCUGUCCGUUGCGGGGCUUUGGGUGAUGCUGGAAUCAUUUUUUUUCCAUCAGCCUGCGGUUGGAUCUGCUGCUCUCCGCGUUGGCAUCUCCCGAGUGCAAAAUGCACAGAGGAGAAAGCUGCUGCGUCCUGCCCUGUGCUGGGCCUGGCGGAUGCAUGCGGGUCUGCAAAAGCCAUCAUGGGCUUUGCAGUGCUGGUGCAAACCCACAGCAAGGAGAGGGCCGAGCGAGGUGGUGGGGGGUGCAGAGGGGUGGGGGGUGCAAGGAGAUGGCGUGCAUGGUGCUGCCCCCGUGUCCUUUCCCUGUCUCCAUGUCCUUUCCCUGUCCCCACGGGUCAGCCCUGUUUGCUGCUUGCCCUCCUUUGUUCCUGAAGCACAUUUCUCAUCUCGUCUUGCUGUGAGCAAUGCGGAGGAGAGCUGCCUUUCAAACACGCCGUCCUGCGUCAGCCCCGGCCUCUUUGUUUCUUUUUAGUGUGCUCAGCUUCGUGCUGGGAGUGCAGGGUUUUUCCAGCCAGGACGGUUUGGAGCAUCAGACGUGUGCAGAAUGAGCGAUGCCGGAGCUUCGGGCUCAGCCAGGGCUGGAAAAACCCCCACUCUUUGUUUUGGGCUUGAAGCAAAACCACCUCCUCCACCUCUCCAUGGCUGUGCUUUAAGUCUGGGAAACAGCACGCGUGCAGCAUUCGGUGACACCCAGAGCCCAUAACUCAGGGGAUGGACUCUGCACAGAUCCAUUCCCCAGCAUGGCCGGGCAGCACCUGGAUCCUGCUCUGCCUCCUCACAUCAAUCUCCCAGCUGGGAUUUGUCCAAAAACAAAAGGCUUGCAGCAAGCUGGAAUAACAGCACGAGGUCCCUGGGCGCUGCGCAGCCUGCAGCGUCCUCCAGCCCUGAGAUGAGCAGAGCCUCACGACUGUGUUGCUCACGGGGGUGAUUUAUAGCCCGGGGUCUGUAAGUCCUUCUCUGGAGUAAGAAAGUAUUCCUAUCCCCAUAGCCUGAAUUCAUUAUACUGAAGAUAAGGGAUUCUGCAUUCGAACAAAGAGAAUCUCUGCAGCGGUUUGGAAGGGAAUUCUAGAGCUGUUUGGAAUUUCUAGAGAUGAAAUGAAAUCUCAAAACAAAUCCAAGAGAAGGCACAGAGACCGAGCACGGGCAGCUGGCUGACCAAAGGCUGACCAUGAGCCAGCAGUGUGCCCCUAUGGCCAGAAGGCCGAUAGUAACCCUGUUGGCCAACAGUUGACCAAGGGUUGACCAAAGGCUGACUGGAGCACUGGGCCCAGUGCUGUGUUCCCCAGUUCCAGGCAGACUGGGAACUGCUGGAGAGAUCCUUAUGGAGGGUGCAGAGCUGAUGGAUGUCCUGAUGGGCAAAUGCUGAGAGCCCCAGCACUGUUCACCUGGAGAAGGUCGAGAGGGCAUCCGAGCAACACUUUACCAAACCCAAGCACUGCGGUCACUGUUGGUGCCCACCCCCAUCCCCUCCAUGCUGUGGGGUGAGAGCAGAGCUGGGGACACAGAUGGGGCUCACCGACCCCCCACUGCCUCCUGCACGCAGUGCAACCACAUUGCCACGCAGGGAAGAGGACGAGGGCCCUUCUCAAGGUGACCAGCUUCUUAUUUUUGGCCGCUAUCCCCCUGCUGCUGGAGCUGACCUGGGCUGCGAGCUGUUGAAGUUUUUAGGCCCUUUGUUUGUUUAAUGGAAGCGAUGUUUGUUUUUGAUCACAGGCAUUAGAUAGGCACUUCCUCUGCAUGCAGGAAGCAGUGAUUUCCUGUUCACUCGGCGGCCAACUCUCACUGCGCAGGAAACCUCGCUCUGCUGAGUGUUCACUUUUCGUGCAGCGUUUUUGGAAGUCCUCUCGUGGGGUUGUUUUGUUUUCUCUUUCCCCACCCCAAUGCUGUUGGGUUCCCAUAGGCUCCGGUGGGGCCAUUUCCCCACAUUUGGCUGAAGUCUCCCAAUGAGGUCCAAUACGGAGGCAAGGCAGCAUCACUGCUUUGAUGGUGUUUGUCACACUGUGAUGGUGUUUGUCACCACUGUGGUGGUGUUUCCCACUGUUUGGGUGAGGUUUGCCACUGUUUGGAUGGUGUUUGUCAUCAGUUCUGUGCUACCACCAACAGCACAAGCGCAUCCCUCUGCUUUCAUGGACCCGCUUGGUGCAGAUCCAUGCCUACGAUCACCCCAUUUGCCUCUCCCUGCUGUUCUGCUGAUGCCUAUGGGUUGUUCCGGAUGCAAUUUGCUGUUGAGGAGGGUACAUUUGUACCAGGUCACCUGGACAACUUGCUGUCAUGGGCAGAGUUAAAGCAGGGAGCUGGACCAAGCCUGCCCUGUUUGCUCCUUUCCUUGCUGGGACUUUUAGGCAGAUAAGUGCUCUGUGGGAAUGCUGGUGAUUAUUACUGAUUACCCAAUAAAUUUGUGUGAGAACUCUGCUGUGGGUGCAUGGCUUGUGCUUCCCAGAAUCUUGCUUCUCAUCUCUGCAAUGCUCUUCUGGCUUUGCUCCCUUCUGGCUGCAGCAGCACGCCCAGGUCAGUCCGUAUAGCAUAAUGAAUGGGGACAGAGCUGAUGAUGCUUCCCACCUGGAGAGGUUCUUUUGAGGUGGAAAAGAGGUCCAUAGGACUUCCAGUUGUACCAAAGGCAGCUGGGAUGGGGAUCCCUUGGCAACUCUGUGCAUAGGAGGGUGGUUUUGAUCUGUGUGUUUGUUGGUAUUUCAGAGCUGACCCAGACAGGACUUUGCUGUAGCAGUGUGCUCAGAGCUGUGGCGGCAGAUGCCUCCGGCCACAGCAAGCCUGGACAGGUGGACAGACAGACAUGGCUGUGUGGGAGCAUUCAAUCUGAUGCUGGCCAUCGGUGUCCUCAUCUGCUGGAGCUUUUAAUUACUUUGCUGUUGUAAAAGGGCCCCCUUCGAGGGAGGGGGUUUGUGAUGGGGAGGAACAGAGGGAAUGGGAGAGCUCAGAACCCCACAGCCACGGGACAGACACGUCCUGCAGACACCCAUGUAGGGGAGAGCAUUGGAUGCUCUGCGUUGUGCAAUGGCAGUGAAUGGAGCAGCAUGGUGGAUGGAGGGAUGGGACUGGGAGGAGGGCAGAUGCCUUCAGGGCUCCUCCAGCCCAGGACACCACCACAGCAGCCCCUCCUGCCUGGUUCCUGGAGAGCUCACCGUUCCCCCGGCCCCUUCCGAUCAUUGCACGUCGCUGACAUCAUUGCCAGUUGCCAUGGAAAAGGCAGGUUGUCCAAAACACGACCCCUUGGCCUCAUCCCAUGCGUGUCAGGAAAUGAAGGUUUUACAGCACAACGCUGCAGCAGAGCAGGAAGAGCCGGAGAGGGACCGGCAGCUCGGAGACAGGCACAUGGCUCUGCCCCCUCUGUGAUGGGGAAAUGGAGACCAACUGGGGCUACCAGAUGGAUUUGUGUCUUCUGAGUUAUUUCUGGGCUGCUGGGGAGGCAAGGUGGAGCUUUAAAGUUGGUGCCCAGAGAGAAGGCAAGAAGUCUGCGUGAAGCUCUGAGCAACGCAACAGCAGAUGGUUUCCAUCGUUAAACCCAAGGAGAGAAUGUCUCCUAGGUGAGGUUGUGUUGCUGGAUGUGAGGCUCCUGGCUGGAUGAGGAGACCGGGGUGAUGCGAUGCCUCCCAGCUGAGCUGGGGAUGGGCAGAGAGCAGAGCAAAAGGAGCUGCUUGUUGUGGUGCCAGGAACCAGCCAGCAAUUCUAAAGCCAUCCUGGAGUCAGCGGUCACCAAAAGCCUUGCAGAGAGUGUGGGGGCUUUGGGAAGGGAGCACCAGGUGUUGUGCUGCGGUGGGGUUGGGACGCUGCUGUUCAAGGCAGCCUUUGUUCAGGCAGGAAUUACAACCAGACCUCUCUAUCCUGCAGUGGUCAGAGUGGAGGUGUUUCCCCAAGGGAAAGCUGGAAGCUUUGCUCUUGGAUCCUCCAGAACGGGAGGAAGCACACUGUGUCCUGCCCUGACCACAAAGCAUCCGCUCCCCCGUGCACAAGCAGCGUGCAAAAAGCUCCAUGAAGGCUCCGAGCAGUGGCAGCUCUGCCCGCCCUGCUGGAUUCAGGCAGCCUUCAUGCCACAUCCGUGCUGCAGGAUGAACCCAUCUCCUCCUUAGGUUCUUUUCCCCAUUCAUCCAUGGCCAUGCAUGCAGCCCAGCCCCCCCCAGCAGGCGGUGGACCACGAGCAGGCUGAGCAGCACACUCAUCUGGGGAUGUGCUGGAAAAUUAAAGCAUGGGAGCUUUCUGGUUUUGCAUACCCCAUCCGGGGGCACAGUGCAGGCGCCGAGCAUGGAAAGUGGUGGCAUGACACAUCAGCACUCUUGUUUUGGUCUCACUUUGCUCGAUACCUCACCAGUGCUGCAGUCACUUCACCCACCCGGUAAACAACGGCACGAGCGCGGGGAGCUGCCGGCUCCCUCCCGGCUGUGGGUGUCAGAGGGUUAAAAAUAGACUCCAGAUUUCGGUUGGUGAAUGUGGAGGCAGAGAGCAGAGCGCUGUUUAUCAAUGCCAGGGUUUCCCCUGAGAUGCUGAAAUGAGUCAGAUAAGGGAUGGGUACAACCGUGCUCCGCGCACGGCUCCUUUUGGGGAGCUCAGUGCUGAGGUCCGUGGGGAUGUUUGGUGUGGAUGGGUUCCUACAGGCUACGUUACAGCAUCCUACCCAUCCUUACCCUUCUGUAAGCACUGUCCUCUGCCCCUCCUCAGCCGUGAAAGCACCAUGGGCUGCUCAGCUGGCUCAGUUCCUCACUGGGUUUUGAGCCCAUGCAGAGGGCAGGGAUGGGCGGGGGGAUGGCUGAGGAGUGUGAUGUCCCAAAGGGACCCAAAAGGCUGCAAGGUGCGCCAGGUUUGUGGUGCUGGGGAGGCUGGAGGAGCAUCAGCCUCCUGUAACAGCGCUGCAGGUGUUGGCUCUGACCUUCCUACCCUGUGCAAAAUUGCUUCCAAUGCAGAGGUCACCAAGCUCCGUGAUGCUGCAAUUUCAGAGGAGCACAAGGGAGGAUUUUGCUGUCUCUGUUGUUGCACUGCUGACAUUUGGGACCUUCAGAGCAGUGGAGCUGUGAGGAUUGCUGCUGGGUCCCUGGGAGCAGCGUGGUGCCAUCGCUGCUGCUUGCAGGAAUCUGAGGGCUCAGAUGGUGGGGUGCAAAGGGCUGCUGGUGCUGCUGCAGCUCUUUGUGGCCCCAGUGAAAUUAGGGCACACAUUUUAGUGCCUUCCUAUCCUGCAUGCUGCAAUAGUUGUGGUCACUGUGGCAGGUCCUCUCCUGUAAGGGCAUCCUAUGCCCUUACACCCCAUCCCUUUGCACAGUGCUUGGGCCCUGGGGUGAUGCAGACCUGGAUGCCCAUCUCCUAAGGCCCAGGGAACAUGUGUUUGGGUCACCCCAGGCUGGGUUAAUGCACAGGGGCAGCAGCAGGCUGCUGUUAGCAGAGGACCAAACUGCUCCCUGUCAGUGUUUCUGAGCCAAGUUGGCAGCUGCUUCAGCUCAGCCCCACGGGGUGGGAGAUGGGGCUAAAACUGCUCCCUAUUUCCAUCCUGUCCCCUCUUGUGCCUCUGCACCUCCUACAUUGGCAUCACCAUCCCAUCCCAUCCUCAUCAGCAUCCCCAUCCCAUUCCUUCAGCAUCCUCAUCCCCUUCCCAUCCCGUCCCAAUCUCACCCAUCCCCUCUCCCUUUGCACCACUGCAACGACAUCCACGCGCGAGGCCCUCGGGAGCCCUUUUUCUCCCAGGGACAGCAUUUUGGAGGAGGGACGGAGCCGGUCCCACUUCCAGAGGCACCCCACGCUGUGGGAUCUGGGCUGGGCUGUGGGGCUGUGUGAAUGGAGCACUUUUUCACACCCGACGCUUUGCUUGUGGAAGCGGCAGCAGCUUCCUGUUUGACUCACACCUGACAGCCCCGCUGUAUGAGUCGGGGCCUCUCGGUGCUUGCAGCAACUGAGUGGGGCUGUUUACAAUUAGAGAACAUGGGAUUCCCAGAAAGAGGCUCAGACCGGACAUCCUGAAGCGAAAUACCCCGGGCGUCACCAGCUAAAAAUAGACACAGCAGAACAGUCACCAAACAAACAGCACGGCUGCGUUGGGUGCAGGGCUGUGUCCCAUGGCGUGGGGGGGGGGGGAGGGGAGGGGGACACACGGUGGCCUUUCCUUCCCCCGUUGUGUUUUUGGGGCAUAACGACGUGAUGCUCCGAAGCGGCAG
rnacentral:lncRNA from 1 species